rnacentral:rRNA from 1 species
GUCGAACGGUAACAGGAUGUGCUUGCACAUCGCUGACGAGUGGCGGACGGGUGAGUAAUGCUUGGGAACUUGCCUUUGCGAGGGGGAUAACAGUUGGGAACGACUGCUAAUACCGCAUAAUGUCUUCGGACCAAACGGGGCUUAGGCUCCGGCGCAAAGAGAGGCCCAAGUGAGAUUAGCUAGUUGGUAAGGUAAUGGCUUACCAAGGCGACGAUCUCUAGCUGUUCUGAGAGGAAGAUCAGCCACACUGGGACUGAGACACGGCCCAGACUCCUACGGGAGGCAGCAGUGGGGAAUAUUGCACAAUGGGGGAAACCCUGAUGCAGCCAUGCCGCGUGUGUGAAGAAGGCCUUCGGGUUGUAAAGCACUUUCAGUUGUGAGGAAAAGUUAGUAGUUAAUACCUGCUAGCCGUGACGUUAACAACAGAAGAAGCACCGGCUAACUCCGUGCCAGCAGCCGCGGUAAUACGGAGGGUGCGAGCGUUAAUCGGAAUUACUGGGCGUAAAGCGCACGCAGGCGGUUUGUUAAGCUAGAUGUGAAAGCCCCGGGCUCAACCUGGGAUGGUCAUUUAGAACUGGCAGACUAGAGUCUUGGAGAGGGGAGUGGAAUUCCAGGUGUAGCGGUGAAAUGCGUAGAUAUCUGGAGGAACAUCAGUGGCGAAGGCGACUCCCUGGCCAAAGACUGACGCUCAUGUGCGAAAGUGUGGGUAGCGAACAGGAUUAGAUACCCUGGUAGUCCGCACCGUAAACGCUGUCUACUAGCUGUGUGUGUCUUUAAGACGUGCGUAGCGAAGCUAACGCGCUAAGUAGACCGCCUGGGGAGUACGGCCGCAAGGUUAAAACUCAAAUGAAUUGACGGGGGCCCGCACAAGCGGUGGAGCAUGUGGUUUAAUUCGAUGCAACGCGAAGAACCUUACCUACACUUGACAUGCUGAGAAGUUACUAGAGAUAGUUUCGUGCCUUCGGGAACUCAGACACAGGUGCUGCAUGGCUGUCGUCAGCUCGUGUCGUGAGA